CAGUCGCCGCGGGAAUACGAAGGGGGCUAGCGUUGUUCGGAUUUACUGGGCGUAAAGGGUGCGUAGGCGGAUUGUUAAGUCAGGGGUGAAAUCCCGAGGCUCAACCUCGGAACUGCCUUUGAUACUGGCGAUCUUGAGUCCGGGAGAGGUGAGUGGAACUGCGAGUGUAGAGGUGAAAUUCGUAGAUAUUCGCAAGAACACCGGUGGCGAAGGCGGCUCACUGGCCCGGUACUGACGCUGAGGCGUGAAAGCGUGGGGAGCAAACAGGAUUAGAUACCCCCGUAGUCCCUGUCUCUUAUAC
rnacentral:rRNA from 1 species